CCUACGGGGGGCAGCAGUGAGGAAUAUUGGUCAAUGGACGAGAGUCUGAACCAGCCAAGUAGCGUGAAGGAUGACUGCCCUAUGGGUUGUAAACUUCUUUUAUAAAGGAAUAAAACGAGGCACGUGUGCCUUUUUGCAUGUACUUUAUGAAUAAGGAACGGCUAACUCCGUGCCAGCAGCCGCGGUAAUACGGAGGAUCCGAGCGUUAUCCGGAUUUAGUGGGUGUAAAGGGAGCGUAGAUGGGUUGUUAAGUCAGUUGUGAAAGUUUGCGGCUCAACCGUAAAAUUGCAAUUGAUACUGGCAGUCUUGAGUACAGUUGAGGUAGGCGGAAUUCGUGGUGUAGCGGUGAAAUGCUUAGAUAUCACGAAGAACCCCGAUUGCGAAGGCAGCUUACUAAACUGUGACUGACAUUGAUGCUCGAAAGUGUGGGUAUCAAACAGGAUUAGAUACCCUGGUAGUC
rnacentral:rRNA from 1 species